GAAAGCGUAGAGUGCAGGUGCAAGAAAAAAGCGUAGGCAGAUAGAAAUCACAGAAGCGAUAAAAAACAAGCUUUGUGCGAUUAAGCUGCUAUAAAGUUGCGAAACACAGUGUCGGGCGUAAAAAUCGACACACAUGCAGCACCAAAGACGCCAUUACAAACCAUCUACAGACACAAUACAGACAACCAAAUGUAGGCCACUACACAUGUUUACAAAAAUACAAACUCCUAUCCCCUGAAGAAGGUUCAAUAAAGAACCGAAACGUCGGACGUAGGAGCAAAAACUGUGUUUGCUAACCACUCAGACUGCUAUUGCCGAAAAA